CUCACACACACACUCACACAGACUGACACACUCACACAUUCACACACUCACACGCACACUCACACUCAUAGCCACACUCACACUUGCAAGCACACUCACACACUCUCACAUACACUCACACACUCACACUCACACUCACACUCACACUCCCACUCCCAGUCACACUCACACUCACACUCACACUCACCCUCACCCUCAC
rnacentral:lncRNA from 1 species